UACGUAGGGUGCGAGCGUUUGUCCGGAAUUAUUGGGCGGUAAAGGGCUCGUAGGCGGUUUGUCGCGUCGGGAGUGAAAUCCACUGGCUUAACUGGUGGCUUGCUUUCGAUACGGGCAGACUGGAGGUAUGCAGGGGAGAACGGAAUUCCUGGUGUAGCGGUGAAAUGCGCAGAUAUCAGGAGGAACACCGGUGGCGAAGGCGGUUCUCUGGGCAUGUCCUGACGCUGAGGAGCGAAAGCGUGGGGAGCGAACAGG
rnacentral:rRNA from 1 species